AGCAGCAGGUAAUAUUGUUGUUAGGUAUUUUUGAUUGUUCAUUAUUGUUGUGAAAUCUUUCCUUUGUGAAAUGGUGUUAGGAAAACCCUGACCUAUAGUUACUUGUUUACGUCUGUAUGUUCUCAGAAACUGUUUUCUGCUUUAGGCAUUUUGAUCCAUUAGGACAAGUCUAAACCAGCCAAACCAGGGAGUUUUCUGCCAGACCAAGAAACUUGUAGUUCUAGUAUCUGAAGAAUUCCUUUGUCCUGUGCCUUCUAAGACCAAAGUGUUUUCCAUUACUUAAAAGCAAACUGGUCAGGUAGGAAAAUUAGCUCAACUCUAGAAACUUCUCUUGUGAUUGUGGAAUUUGUGGGUGUGAACAUGUUGUGAAAUAAAUCCCUCCAUGAGCUCCGGCUCCUUUGUGAGAGGAAAAUGGCUUCCGUGUUGUAUGGUCUGGUUCUCUCACCCUCUGCAGAGUGUCACACACUUUGCAGAGUUUGUUGUCUGUUUAAGGUUUGAUACAAUUUACCAAUUUAAGAAUCUAAUCCCUCUGUGUGGGGGUUCUGACUUCCUUUAAGGUAAUUUAAGUUUAAGGUAAUAAAAGAACAAUAGUAUAAAUUAAAAUACGCAACAUAAUAGUGAAUAAUGCUAAAUUAAAUUACCGAACAUAGAUUAAAUUACCUAUCAUAGUGGUGGAGGAUGCGGGCACAGCAGAGCCUUUCGGUGGGAGAUUGCUCCUGUUAGAAGUAGAUUUUCCAGGGUGUUUGAGGAUUUGUGAUUAACACUCACCAUGUCACCAACCAGCUGUUUAGCUCCGCAGGCAAUCUUCCACCUACGGCUCUCGCUUACCGGACUCAGGACGCCACGCAGAGGGAGAGGCAUGUUGUGAUCUGUGGGGGAUACCGGAGUACCCGGAGAAAACCCACGCAUGCAUGGGAAGAACAUGCAACUCCACGCAGAAAGGCCACAGCCGAGUUUCGAACCUGCGACCUUCGUGUUGCGAGGCAACAGUGCUAACCACUGCGCCACCAUGCAGUGGUUAUAUGUAACUCUCAUAUAAGCUCUUUUAUUAUUCAUUGUUAUAUGCUACUUUUUUCAUUAUGGAAUCAUGUUAUAAUAUCAAAGGCCUCUCUGUGCUUCUCUCCUGCACAAGCUCUAAACAGCUGCAGGAACUCCAAAAGGGAGUGAGACAUUGCAGUCUCUCUUUGUACCGGUUACCACGGAUGCUUCUGCUUAUCUUAGAAUUACAUGUUCUUGUGAUAUGUGAGUUCCUGCCUAACAAGGCAAUAUAUGCAUCUACCUUAUAAAGCUCUUUUAUUAUGUAUCCACCUGGUAAACUCUUUUGUAUUAUUCAAUGCUAUUAUAUAUUAUCAUAUGCUAUGGAAAGAAUCCUGCUCAAAUACUCAAGGCCUCUCAGUGUUCUUCUGCACAAAGAUUAAUAGCUGUAUAUCUUCUCCUGUACCAAAGAAAGGAGUGAGCACACUCCAGCUCUUCUCAAGUUCCUCUCGGUACCGGUGAAUAUGUAUCUUUUCCUGUCAAGGACGUACCAGGAUGUUCCUAGUUAUCUCACGGAUGCAUGUUCUCGUGAUGUAUUAACUGUCCACUAACAAGGCUGUUAUUUUCACCUGUCAUGACCAAUGACGUAUGUACAUGGCAAACUGCAUAUGUUACAUUCCUGUAAUCCUCAAUAAAAAUCAGCCGUUUCAGCAGAACGGAGAGAGUGUCUGAAGCAACAGACAGGAGCAGAACGCGGGCUCUGCUGCAGUUGCAUGCUCUCCCCUCUCGAGCGGUGAAACAGUGACUGGACUUCUGAUCAUUUGACUCCACAUUCUACCAACUAAAGGUGUUUAUCUCCAUCUCCUCCGUACCUGUGCUUGGUCUAACAGAAGAAAGACCAACACUGGGAGGCCUAAUCUAUGUCCACAGAUGCUUUCUGCUACUGGAUUUAAUUUAAGAAUGUGGUUUUGCUUCGGGAUGGUCUCUGUUUUCAAUUGGUAAGGUUCCUUCAUGGAAUGCAAACCUUAGCUCAGCAACCUGUUUUGUUUCAUUGGUCAGACUAAGUAAAUAUGGUGUAAUUGUAACAUUUGUCAUUUUCUUUGGGGAAGUGAGCUAUUUUUAUUAGACAUAUUGUUAAAAUUCUCCAGUAGGAUCUUCGGAGAUAUAUUCUUUGGGUUGGGGCCCAAUCUCCAAAAUAGGCUGAUGUUUUCUCACCAUAUCCUGUUUUAUUUUAUUGGGUUAUUUUUUGUGGUGAUAGAAGUCUGCACAGUGCAGUGCAUGAGACAUAUGAAAGCUUGGUUUAAAGUACUCUGACUCCAUCCUAUGUUCUUUUAUUUGCAGUUAAUUGUGUAUUGGGUUUAUCUUUACUUUUUACUUUCUGGGAGUGCGAAUUUACCAAACCUACAUAUCCAGAUUUCAGGGGGUGACAACCUAAAACCCGGGUAUUAUAAGGUUUGUAGUGCCUGUUUGCAUACAAAACUACAGUUUGGGCAUUCCAAAAUAAUGGUUGUCAUCGUUUGAAUCUCCCUGGUUCCCCGAUAUUGUGUUAAAUCUUUAUUUGAUUUGUUUUGAAAGAGUUAGUCCAGCUCGAGACUGGCUGAGCGGGUUAUGCUGAACGGUUAAUCAGAUAAGUGUUUUCUGGCUAUGAGCCAACAAAGGUUUGUCUCAGAUCUUUAUCAGUAAAGGACAAAAGAGACAGAAAUGUUCUGAGUUCUGACCCAGUCACUAAACUUCUGAGUAAGGACGUUUUGCUUGGUGUAAAUUGUGUUUUAAUACUGCUAUAGCAAGGGUGAGCUGCCAUUUCUGUUUAACCUUUUGCUUGUUUGAUAAGCUAGGCAGAUAUAUGGUACUUCAAGGGUUAGUGAGUAGUUAGGUUUAUUCUUUAUUAUUUUGGCCUCUGGCUUACCCUGAAGCAAAAGCAGUGAUCUCAGUCUGGUAUAUAUAGAUUUCUUAGAGUUAAUUGUUAAAGCUCUGUUCCUUUCUUUUGCUGAAUAGUCUUUUCAUUUUUAAUGAUUUUGUGUUAUAAUUAGUUACGGUUGUUUGAGUUUAUUCAGUUUGAUCUUCUAUGUCCUGGAUUGAUACAUUUACAUAUUUUCUUUUACUAUGACUGUUGUUUAAAUGUUUUAUUUUUCCUUUAAGUUGCCUGAUCCGUAAACAAGUAAGAACAUCCUGAUGUGAGACUUUGUGUUUGUUUCUUGGAUUCUUGUCAUAAGCAGACUCUUUGCCAAGGUGAGAUAUCUGGCCAUAAUGGUUUGACUUACUGUUUUUACAGAAAGGUGUUUGUCUUUGUCAUAAACCUAAAAACUUCUUGUUAAAUGAGUCUUAUCAAUCACUUAUUGGGUUACAUAAACUAAUAGUGUGGGUCGUUUAAUGCAAUAUGGAACAUGAAUUGAUGAAUGAACUUUGGUAUAGUUUGCUGAUAAUUAUAUGAGUUGAUUCCAGCUUACAGAUGAUACCGAGUGGACUAUGUUGGUGAAUUUCAGGCCAUGGAACCAAGGAGUUUGGGGUCCUGUUGCAUGUGAUACCACCACAAAUGAGGCGUCAAGGUCACUCAUCUCAUCCCUCCCACUGCUGCAUACUAAUGAGAGGCCACUACAACUGACCAUCAUCAGAUGGAAUGCAUGCAGGCUCGCCAGGACGGCAGAUAAGUAAACGAUCUGCCUUCAGCUUGCAGGGCCAAUCCACCAUGUCGCUGCUGAUGAUGGGCGAUCGCACUUUGCUCUGAAACUGCCCCUCAGCAUCUGAUGGAACGAGAGGAAUAGCAGCAGUUGGGAGGAACAACGGAAUCAACAUCUGGUGUUUGAGACCCCUCCUGGGUCCGUCCACACGACGCUGUGACCUGCCUCCAACGACAUAUCCAGUACCCCAAAUCUCCUGUCUGGUUUCAUGGCUCCCUGUCCAAAAGACAUCCCCUCACCAUCUCUCAGAAUGUCUCUCUCUCUCCUGUCACACCGCAGGUUGGCUCUCUGCUCCCACCUCACGUUGCGUGAAGAUGGGCGUCCUUACGAGGACAUUUGAGCUGAAGAAGGAGAGUCUGGGUCUGUGACGACUCGUCUGUCUCAUAUCGACGAAAGGGCAACACCAUUUUAUGGAAAACAUUGUUUUAACAUCAACUUUCCCCCUCUAGCAAUUUCCUGAAAUCCAACGAAUCGACUGAGUUUGCUGGUAUCUGAUAAUUCAUAUCAACUCGGGUUAAAGUUUCUUGCAUCUGUUAUGGUUAUCUUAAUAAAGCUAGGCACACAAGAUAAAUUAGAUUUUGGUGUUUGGGUUAUUGUUAAGCUAACAUCAUCGUAUUGAUUCAUAAUUCGUGCUCAUUGAUUAUUGGGUUAGUGACAUCUUAUUCUGAUUUGUUAUAACAACAAAAAUGAACAUCAGGAGGGAUUGUUAGGUAUUUUUGAUUGUUCAUUAUUGUUGUGAAAUCUUUCCUUUGUGAAAUGGUGUUAGGAAAACCCUGACCUAUAGUUACUUGUUUACGUCUGUAUGUUCUCAGAAACUGUUUUCUGCUUUAGGCAUUUUGAUCCAUUAGGACAAGUCUAAACCAGCCAAACCAGGGAGUUUUCUGCCAGACAAAGAAACUUGUAGUUCUAGUAUCUGAAGAAUUCCUUUGUCCUGUGCCUUCUAAGACCAAAGUGUUUUCCAUUAGUUAAAAGCAAACUGGUCAGGUAGGAAAAUUAGCUCACUUCUAGAAACUUCUCUUGUGAUUGUGGAAUUUGUGGGUGUGAACAUUUUGUGAGAUAAAUCCCUCCAUGAGCUCCGGCUCCUUUGUGAGAGGAAAAUGGCUUCCGUGUUGUAUGGUCUGAUUCUCUCACCCUCUGCAGAGUGUCACACACUUUGCAGAGUUUGUUGUCUGUUUAAGGUUUGAUACAAUUUACCAAUUUAAGAAUCUAAUCCCUCUGUGUGGGUGUUCUGACUUCCUUUAAGGUAAUUUAAGUUUAAGGUAAUAAAAGAACAAUAGUAUAAAUUAAAAUACGCAACAUAAUAGUGAAUAAUGCUAAAUUAAAUUACCGAACAUAGAUUAAAUUACCUAUCAAUUGUGUCAAAGAAGACGGCAAGCCUCAGCCCUGAGCAUGUAGAUAUGCUCACCUUCCUUCACUGCAACCACAGGCUCCUUGGAUAGAUUGUAUUUCCACUCCCCAGGCAGUCUCUUGAGGACAGUUUAAAAUCCUUGUUUACAGUAGUAGGACUUGUGUGCCAAAUUACUGUCUUGCAUGUUAGUUCUGAAUAUAAAGUUGCACAUUUGAAAGACAGUGUUAACAGCACAAUUUAUUGCACUUUUUUUUGAUACUAAGAGUGAUAACUGCUUUUUUGUUAUUCAAAGAUUAUUUUUAUUUUUUUUCUGUAACUGUUUCAGGGAAUGUUAAGUUUAAAGUAAUAUUAUUUAUAUUUGUGUUUUCAUCUCAAAUGUUAAGGUGGAAGUAAUUUUAGUUCUGAUUUUUCUAAAGAAACAAUCACUAUUUUCCAUUAUACAAAUACAUUAAAAAAAUGUCAUUUAUACAUAAUAAUGUAAACAACAAA